AAUGGCACCGGUAGUUGAUAUCCACUACACUACAAUAAUUUUUGUCUGAAUAUUUGGUGGUGCCUUUUAUUUAUAUUUAUUUCGCAGAAAAGAACAGAAAAAAUCGAAAUAACCGCUGAGGAGCUGAGUGAGGCAGAGACAUGGGCUUGCUUGCGUAUGGUAGUCAGGAGGAAGAUAACGAAGGAUUAGACAUUAUGGCGACGAUGCUGACUUCGCUUUGAUUCAAACGAGAAAUUAGGAUCUCUCUCGCUUUUUCUCUCUAUAAAUACAUAUAAAUACUUAUAUAUAUGGCAUCCGCUUCUCUGAUUCACGCACGCUUUGGUUACUCUACGAGAUUCAGUGAUAAUCGACGAUAUGGUUCGCAGGGACCUGUAGGCUCUUCUUCGUCUUCGUCUUGUUGCUCUUCGUCUCUGGGCUUUUCUUCUGGGUUAUAUAGUUGUUGGAGAAACCAGGGCCUUAGAGCUCAAGCUAUGACUAGUCGGGGAAAUUUUGCAUCAGCCUCCGGGGGUGUUGCAAGUGCAGAGAAUAAGCCUGAUCAUCUUCUCGUCCUUGUUCAUGGCAUCUUGGCAAGCCCAAGUGACUGGACAUAUGGGGAAGCUGAGUUACGAAGGCGUCUUGGAAGAAAAUUCCUAAUUUAUGCUAGUUCAUCUAACACGUACACUAAAACUUUUACCGGGAUUGAUGGAGCUGGAAAACGAUUAGCAGAUGAGGUCAUGCAAGUUGUGCAAAAGACAGAGAGCUUGAAGAAGAUCUCAUUUUUAGCCCAUUCUCUCGGGGGCCUGUUCGCAAGAUAUGCAAUUUCUGUCCUUUACACACCCGAUGAUGGUGCCAAUACAACCAUUGCAAAUUCACAAAAAGCAUACUCUUGGAGACGAGGAAAGAUUGCUGGUUUGGAGCCAAUCAAUUUUGUGACAUUGGCAACUCCACAUCUCGGGGUGAGAGGGAAAAAACAGCUGCCGUUUCUAUUCGGAGUACCUUUCUUAGAAAAGCUUGCUGCUCCAAUUGCUCCUAUUAUUGUUCGUAGAACUGGUAGUCAGUUGUUCCUCACUGAUGGUAAGCCUGAGAAACCUCCGCUUCUUUUGAGAAUGGCAUCUGAUUGUGACGACGGAAAAUUUGUAUCUGCUUUGGGGUCUUUUAAAUGUCGCAUUCUUUACGCUAAUGUAUCUUAUGAUCAUAUGGUUGGCUGGCGCACAUCAUCAAUUAGGAGGGAAACAGAAGUUUUUAAGCCCCCCCGCCGGUCUUUGGAUGGCUACAAGCAUGUUGUAGAUGUUGAGUACUAUCCCCCAGUCUCCUCUGACGGUCCCCAUUUUCCUCCUGAAGCAGCUAAAGCAAAGGAGGCUGCCCAGAGUGAACCCAACACACAGAACACAUUGGAAUAUCAUGAAAUUGUUGAAGUAUGUGAACAGAGGAAAUGAUAAGCGGCUUACAGCAGUUAGGAUGGAAAAAAGUUGACGUCAGCUUUCAUUCAGCAUUUUGGCCCUUCUUUGCCCAUAACAACAUUCAUGUGAAAAAUGAAUGGCUCCACAAUGCUGGUACCGGAGUGGUUGCUCACGUUGCUGACAGCCUAAAGCAACAAGAAUCCUCCUCAUUUAUCACCGCCAGCUUAUAGCUAAGUGCCGUGUAGCUGAAACAUGUAGAAUAACCACACGAUAUGAAAUUAGUUGAUGACACAUUUGUUGUUCAUUAGUGUAGAUCUCUUUGCUUCAUUGUCGCCUCAUAUGAACAUCGAUAUAUCCAAAAGAUGUAUGGAUGGAAAUUUGUAUAUGUAGCCUACAAUGCGAUCAAUCAAGGUAGUACAUGUAGCAUCACUCA